UACGUAGGGUGCGAGCGUUAAUCGGAAUUACUGGGCGUAAAGCGCGCGUAGGCGGUUAUUUAAGUCGGAUGUGAAAGCCCCGGGCUCAACCUGGGAAUUGCAUUCGAUACCGAGUAACUAGAGUAUGAGAGAGGGAGGUAGAAUUCCACGUGUAGCGGUGAAAUGCGUAGAUAUGUGGAGGAAUACCGGUGGCGAAGGCGGCCUCCUGGCUUAAUACUGACGCUGAGGUGCGAAAGCGUGGGGAUCAAACAGG
rnacentral:rRNA from 1 species